GGAGGGGUGACCGAGCGGUUGAAGGUACCAGUCUUGAAAACUGGCAGGCCCUUUACGGGGUCUCGAGGGUUCGAAUCCCUCCCCCUCCGCCA
rnacentral:tRNA from 1 species